rnacentral:rRNA from 1 species
UACGUAGGGUGCAAGCGUUGUCCGGAAUUAUUGGGCGUAAAGAGUUCGUAGGCGGUCUGUCGCGUCGGCUGUGAAAACUCGGGGCUCAACUCCGAGCUUGCAGUCGAUACGGGCAGGCUAGAGUUCGGCAGGGGAGACUGGAAUUCCUGGUGUAGCGGUGAAAUGCGCAGAUAUCAGGAGGAACACCGGUGGCGAAGGCGGGUCUCUGGGCCGAUACUGACGUGAGGAGCGAAAGCGUGGGGGAGCAAACAGG